rnacentral:rRNA from 1 species
AGGACGAACGCUGGCGGCGUGCUUCACACAUGCAAGUCGAACGGGGCUCAUCCGGUGGUAACACUGGAGAAGGCCUAGUGGCGAACGGGUGAGUAACACGUGAGGAACCUGCCCCGAAGACCGGGAUAACAGCGGGAAACCGCUGCUAAUACCGGAUGCCCCCAUCAGGCCGCAUGGCCAGGUGAGGAAAUGGAUUCCGCUUCGGGAGGGUCUCGCGGCCUAUCAGCUAGUUGGUGGGGUAACGGCCUACCAAGGCUACGACGGGUAGCUGGUCUGAGAGGACGACCAGCCACACUGGGACUGAGACACGGCCCAGACUCCUACGGGAGGCAGCAGUGGGGAAUCUUGCGCAAUGGGCGAAAGCCUGACGCAGCAACGCCGCGUGAGGGAUGAAGGCCUUCGGGUUGUAAACCUCUUUCAAGCAGGGACGAUAGUGACGGUACCUGCAGAAGAAGCUCGGCCAACUACGUGCCAGCAGCCGCGGU